rnacentral:tRNA from 1 species
AAAUAAGAAGCAAUUUUGCAUUUAAUUUCGACUUAAAAAAUAGAAUAUAAUAUUAUUCCUUAUUUA